AGCAGCCGCGGUAAUUCCAGCUCCAAUAGCGUAUAUUAAAGUUGUUGCAGUUAAAAAGCUCGUAGUUGAACUUCAGGCCUGGCUGGAUGGUCCGCCUUCUGGGUGAGUACUGUCUGUGGUCGGGUCCUACCUUCUGGCGAAGCGUCAUGGCCUUCACCGGCCGUGGCGGGGAGCCAGGACUUUUACUGUGAAAAAAUUAGAGUGUUCAAAGCAGGCACGCGCUUGAAUACAUUAGCAUGGAAUAAUGGAAUAGGACAGUGGUUCUAUUUGUUGGUUUCUAGGACCGUUGUAAUGAUUAAUAGGGAUAGUUGGGGGCAUUAGUAUUCAAUUGUCAGAGGUGAAAUUCUUGGAUUUAUUGAAGACUAACUACUGCGAAAGCAUUUGCCAAGGAUGUUUUCAUUAAUCAAGAACGAAAGUUAGGGGAUCGAAGACGAUCAGAUACCGUCGUAGUCUUAACCAUAAACUAUGCCGACUAGGAAUCGGGCGAUGUUGACAAAAUGACGCGCUCGG
rnacentral:rRNA from 1 species